GUCCCUGUAGCGCAAUGUAUUGCGCGUUGGGCUUCUAAUCCAAACGUAGUAGGUUCGAAUCCUACUUGAGAUG